CCUACGGGCGGCUGCAGUGGGGAAUAUUGGACAAUGGGCGAAAGCCUGAUCCAGCCAUGCCGCGUGCGUGAAGAAGGCCUUUGGGUUGUAAAGCACUUUCAGUGGGGAAGAAAGCCUUGGGGCUAAUACCCUCGAGGAAGGACAUCACCCACAGAAGAAGCACCGGCUAACUCCGUGCCAGCAGCCGCGGUAAUACGGAGGGUGCGAGCGUUAAUCGGAAUUACUGGGCGUAAAGCGCGCGUAGGCGGUCUGAUAAGCCGGUUGUGAAAGCCCCGGGCUCAACCUGGGAACGGCAUCCGGAACUGUCAGGCUAGAGUGCAGGAGAGGAAGGUAGAAUUCCCGGUGUAGCGGUGAAAUGCGUAGAGAUCGGGAGGAAUACCAGUGGCGAAGGCGGCCUUCUGGACUGACACUGACGCUGAGGUGCGAAAGCGUGGGUAGCAAACAGGAUUAGAUACCCUGGUAGUC
rnacentral:rRNA from 1 species